AACACAUGUAACCAGAACCGUAGACACUUCGUUUUCAUCGUCGUCGUCACUUUUGCUGCGUCGUCUUGUGCGGUGGCUUUUUCUAUCACAGCUUUGAUGCAUAGAUUGUGAUGACUACGAGCAAACUCUACGUUAAGAAUUGAUAUAGCAUCGUAUUAUUACUAACAGAGUAAAAAAGAUUCGAUAAGAUUGCAAUUAUUAUUGAAAUUUAAGAAGAAAAGCGCUAAACGAUCCUAUCCGUCAUGCCUGUUGCUAUAAUAAAGAAAAUCAUGAGGAUAUUAUUCGGCUCACUACACUCAAUAAUAGUUAUUAUGAUCUGUAUCUCAUGCAUACCAAACUUAUUCUUUUUACCUAACCUAACCCAUUAUAAUGAAUAUAUUAAUUUGAAUAAACCAAAUAACAUAACCAAUAACAUACUGAUUUACAAUGAAGAUGACGUGCCAAAAGAAGUAUUAAUUAAUUCAUGGUUUGAGAAAUCAGAAGAAUUGGCAUACGAUACAAGAACAUUUUACCUUUACUGCGUACUUUUAUACAAUUUAUGGUGUUUGUGUUGCGAACUUAUACUAGCUUACUUAAAUAAUUUGUAUAACCGGUUCUUUCGCCGUAAUUAAGAUAAUGAGCAAGCUGUCCGUUUUCAAGACGAUAGAAUUCAUUGGAAUGGACAAGCGAAUGUCCAUCCACAAAACUUGGCACGAGAGGAUGAACUUUAAUUCGGAAAGUUAACAUGAUGUUUUGCGCAUUAGUGCAAAGAGUCACAUAAUUGUAAUAUUGAUAAAGUUUCUUAAUGUUUCUUACGUUAAAUCCUUAUUGUCAAGUUCAAAUCAUUUAGACAACGCAUAUGUUUUCAUACAUA